UACGGAGGAUGCAAGCGUUAUCCGGGAUGAUUGGGCGUAAAGCGUCCGCAGGUGGUGUUGUAAGUCUGUUGUUAAAGCGUGCGGCUUAACCGCAUAAGGGCGAUGGAAACUACAAGACUAGAGUGCGUUAGGGGUAGAGGGAAUUCCUGGUGUAGCGGUGAAAUGCGUAGAGAUCAGGAAGAACACCGGUGGCGAAAGCGCUCUACUAUGACGCAACUGACACUGAGGGACGAAAGCUAGGGGAGCGAAUGGG
rnacentral:rRNA from 1 species